GGACCCGAAGGAUGCUGUAGACCCCGAAGGGAGGGGCGUGACCAAGGGGUUAGCGAAGCACGAUCCGAGCUGAAGACGUAACCCGGAGCCGCGUCCUCUGCUCGAGGAGGGGCUUAAGGUGUCUCCUGUGCGCGUGUUCGACGUCAGAUGAAAGCAGUCUUUGUCUAGGUUAAGGAAAAGCAGCUGGAGGCCUGGAUAAUUCAACCAUGGAUAAAUGCAAAAAUCAGUUAAUUAAAUCAAAUUAUUGAA